rnacentral:misc_RNA from 1 species
GAUGAAGAACGUAGCGAAAUGCGAUAAGUAAUGUGAAUUGCAGAAUUCAGUGAAUCAUCGAAUCUUUGAACGCACCUUGCGCUCCUUGGUAUUCCGAGGAGCAUGCCUGUUUGAGUGUCAUUAAAUUCUCAACUAUUAUCAGCUUUUGUUGAUAAUGGCUUGGAUAUGGGGGUUUAUUUUGCUGGCUUCUUCACAGAUUGUCAGCUCCCCUUAAAUGCAUUAGCCGGUGCCCCGCGUGGACUGUCUAUUGGUGUGAUAAUUAUCUACGCCGUGGACAUCUACAAUCAUAUGGGUUUGCACUGCUUCCAACCGUCUGUUUAUUCAGACAAUACAUGACAAUUUGACCUCAAAUCAGGUAGGACUACCCGCUGAACUUAAGCAUAUCAAUAAGCGGAGGA